AGUUGCUGCUCAUUCUAUAGUGGAUUUUUGGGGCAUGUUUAUAUUACACACACAUGAUAGAGCCAUGCUUGUUGCUAAAGUGUUGUUCUUAUCUCCCACUUUACUGUGGCAUUUUGCAGAGAGGAACAUGUCUUCCAGUGCCCUGGCCUCUGGCCCAGUUUAAGAACUGCUACCACAGGGAACGAAGGCAAUGAAGCCCAGAGAUAGAAGCAUGUUCACACUCCCAACCCAAAGGCCCGGGUUCCUCCCUGUGAAUCCACAGGACUCUGCCUCAGAAUCCACCUUAACACAAGCUCCAGGCAGCCACUACUGAUCAAUGGACAUUGGCAUAAAGAAUGAAACCUGCCUAUCAUUCAUGCUUUAUAUAGCCCAUGGAGUAGGGAGUGUAAAAUGAUGAUGUGGGAACACCUCCUGAACUGCUGCAACCAGGGGGCACAUUUAAUGGUACUACAGAGAAGUGCUGAGCAGAACACAAAAGAGCAGAGGACAGCCCACAACUACAAAGGAGAAACAGAACUGAGGCAAGCAGCAGCCACACAAAGAUUCAAAACAUAAAGUACUAAAUGGGUAAAGUGUACAGUAUAUGAAUUAUAUCUCAAUAUCUCAAUGAAGCUCCCAAAAGAGGUUAAUGGUAAAAAUACUGGUUUCACCAGACCAACAUUUAGUACACGGACAUGAAAGGAAGUAAAACCCCUUUAACAUUAUCAUGAGAAAAACUAGGCACUAGGUAUUUGCUUUUGCUUUGACCAAAGUUCACUAAGAACUUCCUAUUGAUGGCAAUACUGGACCCUGACACAAAGCAACAGCAUUCCAUGACAGACUAGCAUAGGCAAAGUGGUGUGGAUUACAAAAGAGGCUCAAAAGAACUGGAAAGACUAUAA